rnacentral:piRNA from 1 species
ACUAGAUAGAUGGGGCUUUAGACACCAAGA